UGGGGAAUAUUGCGCAAUGGGGGGAACCCUGACGCAGCCAUGCCGCGUGAAUGAAGAAGGCCUUAGGGUUGUAAAGUUCUUUCGGUAUUGAGGAAGGUUGAUGUGCUAAUAGCACAUCAAAUUGACGUUAAAUACAGAAGAAGCACCGGCUAACUCCGUGCCAGCAGCCGCGGUAAUACGGAGGGUGCGAGCGUUAAUCGGAAUAACUGGGCGUAAAGGGCACGCAGGCGGUUAUUUAAGUGAGGUGUGAAAGCCCCGGGCUUAACCUGGGAAUUGCAUUUCAGACUGGGUAACUAGAGUACUUUAGGGAGGGGUAGAAUUCCACGUGUAGCGGUGAAAUGCGUAGAGAUGUGGAGGAAUACCGAAGGCGAAGGCAGCCCCUUGGGAAUGUACUGACGCUCAUGUGCGAAAGCGUGGGGAGCAAACAGGAUUAGAUACCCUGGUAGUCCACGCUGUAAACGCUGUCGAUUUGGGGGUUGGGGUUUAACUCUGGCGCCCGUAGCUAACGUGAUAAAUCGACCGCCUGGGGAGUACGGCCGCAAGGUUA
rnacentral:rRNA from 1 species